rnacentral:rRNA from 1 species
AUGGAUUCCCUGUCACACGAGCAAUUUGUAUUGCUAGGAGUCACGUUGUGGGCUAUAUGGACAGCACGGCGGCGGGCAAUCCAUGAAGGUAUAUUUCAAACUCCACAGGCCACUACAGAAUUUGUAAAAAGAUUCAUAACGGAGCUGGAGGUGCUUGAGAAUAAGACGGUAAAAGCAGUGCGAGGCGGCCUUCCUGGCCAGUCUAGGCCACGAGCACCACCGGUGGGCUGGUUUAAAAUCCAUGUCGAUGCCGGCGUCAGAACUGGGAGGGGUGGUUCAGCAGCUGCGGUUUGCAGAGAUCAUCAAGGCAACUACAUGGGGAGUUCGGCAUUGAUCAUUGCGGGAGUGGACGACCCGGCUAUUCUGGAGACAAUUGCAUGUCGAGAAGCACUUGCGCUGGCGGAAGAUCUCAACCUUAACAAUCUGAUCAUCGCUUCCGAUGCUAAGCAAGUAGUCAAUGAUAUUUCAGAAGCACACAGGGGCAGGAACGCUGCAAUUGUUUAAGAGAUUAAAAGUAGAACUUCUUCUUUUUUCUGUAAUUUUGUGUUCAAAGAUCGUGCGGCUAAUAGAGACGCACAUAAACUUGCCAAAUAUUCACUCUCACUAGGGCCGGGGCGCCACAUCUGGUUAGGCCAACCCCAGGCUCCGACUUGUAUCCCACACUCUGUGGAAUUUGAUGAAUAA